UCGAAUCUUUGAACGCACAUUGCGCCCGGCAGUAAUCUGCCGGGCAUGCCUGUCCGAGCGUCAUUUCUGCCCUCGAGCGCGUCCAGCCUUUCGGGGCUGCGACCGCCCGGCGUUGGGGCGCUACGGGGAGCCUCUGGCUAUCCCCCGUAGGCCCCGAAAUGAAGUGGCGGUCCUGCCGCGGCGCCCCCUGCGUAGUAUUACAGCUCGCAUCGGGUCCCGGUGGAGGCCAGCCGUCAAACCUUACUUUCUAAGUUUGACCUCGGAUAAGGUAGGGUUACCCGCUGAACUUAAGCAUAUCAAUAAGCGGAGGAA
rnacentral:rRNA from 1 species